rnacentral:rRNA from 1 species
AGUGAACGCUGGCGGUAUGCCUAACACAUGCAAGUCGAACGGCAGCACAGUAAGCGCUUGCUCUUACUGGUGGCGAGUGGCGGACGGGUGAGGAAUACAUCGGAAUCUACUUUUUCGUGGGUGAUAACGUAGGGAAACUUACGCUAAUACCGCAUACGACCUACGGGUUAAAGCAGGGGAGCUUCAGACCUUUCGCGAUUGAAUGAGCCGAUGUCGGAUUAGCUAGUUGGCGGGGUAAAGGCCCACCAAGGCGACGAUCCGUAGCUGGUCUGAGAGGAUGAUCAGCCACACUGGAACUGAGACACGGUCCAGACUCCUACGGGAGGCAGCAGUGGGGAAUAUUGGACAAUGGGCGCAAGCCUGAUCCAGCCAUACCGCGUGGGUGAAGAAGGCCUUCGGGUUGUAAAGCCCUUUUGUUGGGAAAGAAAAGAAGCAGGUUAAUACCCCGCUGUUCUGACGGUACCCAAAGAAUAAGCACCGGCUAACUUCGUG